rnacentral:rRNA from 1 species
GUCUACAGCCAUGCCACCCUGAACAAGCCCUAUCCUGUCUGAUCGCAGAAGCUAAGCAGGGUGAGGCCUGUUUAGUACUUCAAUGGGAAACUGCUUAGGAAGACCAAGUGCUGUAGGUG